UGACCACAUGCUGGUUUAUAAACCAACAUCAAGCCAGAGCCACUUCUUCAUGUCCCCCGAUCUUCGCCUCUACUAGCCACCUUUCAUAAAGAGCCUGAAGCUGCAGGUGGACUGGGCCUAGCCCUGCACCCAGAUCAAGUGGAGUGGGGAGCUGCAGGGCAAACAUAGUUUUACUGCCGAAGGGGAUGCCACCCACCCAGCACAGGGCUGCAAUAAGUUGGGUCCCAAAACCAGGAUGUACAUCUUCCCAGAUGUGCUCCUGCAUGAGUGAUGUGACUCAUGGAACCAAAAAGAAACACUUUCUUUUCAGGGCGAGAUUGCAGCACCUGAAAUGGCUGCCAUACUCUCUCACACACAAAAACGGGAAUCCUGGUUUUUUCCGGGAUACUUGUGGGCUAUGGAAUUGUAAUUGUUUCGAUGAAUUCAUUGUUAGAGUUAUUUGUAUGUUAUCUGUGUUUGAUAUUACAGUGUUUACAACGGUUUACCCCCACAGUGCUGUUGGUAUUAUUGUGAGCUGCCUUGAGCUCAACAUUUGUUGUUGGAAAACAGUAAUACAAAUAUUAAAUCACCAGGUGUUGAGGGAAUGAUUGUCGUAGUGUUACUGAUGUACCCCCACCCCCAUGUGGCCACAGGAGUGACAGUAACACAACUCACUGCCAUCUUCGCUUGGCCUCCUGGGAGAUAUUUUAACAUUGGGUUUGUUCCAGCUUUGCUGAGGUUGAUGCCAGCCGUUGUUACAACAAAUUCACCUGCCUACGCAGACUACUGCUAAUUAGCAACGUCAGUCUCACAGAAGCAGCACCUGUGGGAAAGGAUCCUCAGCCAGAAGCUGGGAUGCUGGAAAAGUGAAGGAUGGCUAUAUGAGAAAUGCACACUGGCUGCCUGCAAACGCCUUGGAAGCUUGUCAGAGAUUCCUCAUGAGAAGAUCAACAAUUGCUGCAUUCCCAGAAGACAGAAAUGUUAGACAUAAUCUAAGUGUACUCUUGGAUCAAGCAUGGUGAUGGGAAGACCCAACAGGCCUGCACAAUGCCCUCCUUGGACUGAGUGGGAAACGUCCACCUAUUUCUUGCUUAUUCUGUCUAAUUUCCUAUUCAUGGGGGAAUGUGGCCUCAUUUGCUUGUGGAAGGACAGAUAAUUAGAAUCAUAGCUGGUUUUAUAACCUUUGGCCAUGGAGCUGCUGAGCUUAUUUGUUUUUCAUUCUGUCGUCCAGUCUAGUGAAUAACACCGCCUAUGCACAACUGAUAUGUACAUAUCCCAGUAGGCAACAGAUACUUUUCUAUGAAUUCAGCUUUAAGUUUUGAAAUUUACUUUCAUUCUUUUAGUUCCAGACUGCCUGAAGCCACAUUUCCUUGCAACAUUAAAAAAUAAAGAGCACUUAGGUAACAAUCUCACUUUGAAUCAAGAACUGCAAACACAGAAAGCUUUAUCAUCAACACAACACAUCCAAAAAUGUCUUUGUAAAAUAAAUCAAAUUAUAUGAGUUAAUUGAUUCCAGGGAACAUCAGCAACUGCAGGUGGAAAACGAGUAACAGGAUGUUUAUUAAUGAAGGGCUAUUAAUCAAAAUUGACAAUACCAAUCCUUGUUCCUUUAAAUUUCAGUGCUACCUGCACUGGACAUGGACAUAUUUGUUUCUUUUCUAAAUACGGAUUUGUAAGAAAAAGAAAGAUUAACUCUUGGGAUUUCAGUUGGAGAUAGAAGGCUGUUUGUUUAAAUGCUGAAGGAAUAUCCUAAAUCCAAUUUGACAGGCAAAGGCAAAGAUGCCAGGGGUAAUUAAUUAGCACUUAAUUUAGACUACAGAACAACAGGAUAUGGAAUUGGUGCUCAGUGCCAUUUCCCCCUAGGCUCCAUCUCAUGAGGGUCAAGAGUGUGGCUGUUACAUCGAAGGUCAGUAAAUAAAUUGGGGAAACACAUUGAAACUGGACUUUUCACAAUAGAUAUCCUUCACUGUUUCUACUGCCUCUGGCAAUCAUUGACAAGAAAAGGGCUGUGAUUGGUGAAUAAUGCUGUGCAGACACAUGAUUUGAGCAAGGUAGAGUAUGAACUCACAUGUCACAUUGUGAAUCAUAACCUAGACGCUUCCUACAGAAAGUUAUCCCAGAAAAAGUCAGUAUUAGGGAGGAAAAGCAGCUGGGAAGAUCAGAGAAACCUGUGACAGGAGAACAAUUUCAUUUUUUACUUUCUUAGAUUUGAGGAAAUAAAUUUUGAAAGGAAAGGAGAAAGGUGGAGGUUGGGAGAGGAGGGAAUUCAAUCUGCAUUAUAUCUUGGUUAUGACUUCUCAUUACAAUCCUCAGAAGGUGCACGGAAGGUAUUGAUGAUACAUCUAGAUACAGACUAGUAAACAACAUUAUAUGCAAUAUAUGACAGGAAGCCUAGGAGCUAGUCUGGUCCACAGUUUCAGGAUGACUGAAAUGCUAUUCAGAAGUUUCCUCAAAAGUGAUUCCAAUUAAUUAAUUAAUUAAUUAAUUAAUUAAUGAACCAGAGUUCUAAAUCACAUGUGGAGUAGAGAAGGCCUCCUGUAGAAGCAGUCCAGCCACUGAUUUGUGUGGAAGCUAGCGAUGGAUGGUGAUACAUUAGAAGGGCCAGGGCCAAGGAGCACCUAUCCACCCUCCU